GUGGGAUACUCAAGCAAGGUCUAGCGUGGCAGUCUCUUACUGCUGCCUGCGAAAGAAAAUGUAGAACUCUCUGUUCCUUCUUCAGUACCAUGUCUGCCUGCAUACCACUGGGUUUCCUGUCAUAACAAUAAUGGUCUAAGCCAGCCCCAGACUGAGGCUGUGUUGAGCAGACACAAGAGACUCCAGUGGCGUUAUUGAUGCCAGCCUGCCAGUCUACUCUGGGCUGUGAGAAGAUCAACACGGUUGGGCUUACAUGCCUCGGGUCGCAGAAGCGGGAUCCAUGCAUCUUUCUCUCUUUCAUUUCUAGCAUGGAAAUAAGUCCGUUUUCCUGUUAGUUUGACACAGCCAAGUCAAGGUUAUUUCAUGAAUUGUGACAAGGAGCUGUGACACCUAUAAAAUCUUCCCCACUUGCUUUGCCAACACAGAGGGAGGGACUGUCAACAGUCCAUAGGCAAAUCGUGGUGAGUGCUUUCAAGUGGGCACAGCUGACCUCAUGAAGAUGGUGACAGUGUCGUCAGCGGAUAGUACCUUGCGACAGAGUGUAUCUCUCAGCUGAGGGGAAACUACCACAAUAGCUGAGCAAUAGGUGGGCAUCAUGUGAUUGGAUGAAGAGGUCUCCAGUAAAAUAAUGUAAUUUUAGAAAACUUCCAGAGAAGCCCUGUUGAUCGCCCAUCACAUACACUUGAGGUAGCCAAGCCUAUCCACGAUGUGAACUAUAAAGCACAGUCUGAAUUUUGAUCACAUCAUCCUUAUAAAGCACGUAAGUAAGCAUGAGUUGUUUAUUUUUCCUGCGCGGCAGAAUCACUGGGACCAAGAGAGAGGGGUCCUGGUGGGUUCAUCAUGCUAUGUCUUUCUCUCUAGGUGGGCUGCUCAGUUUAUGCUCCAUUGACACCUUGAUCCCACAUUUCUUUGUUGUAGGUGUCUUCAAUACAGCGAAGGCUGAAAGCAUCCCUGGCCUCUACCCAUUGGACAGUAGCUCUACUCCCAGAUAGGACAACCGAAAAUAUCUCCCAACUUCCCUGGGGGAACAUUGCGUUGGCUGGGAACGACUGAUCUAAAAUGAUUGAUAUGAUCAACCUACUCAAAUCAUGAAGUUUAAAAUCUAACAGUGUCAUGUUUCAGUUGUACUGUGGAGAUUGCUUAUUUGUUAACUACCAUGAGGUUUCAAACAAAGUGUCCCUGAGCUUUAAAACCAAUACAUUUCCUACUAUGCUACACCUGGUGUGGUCACCAUAGCUCACUAGAGAAGCAGAAGCAAGAGGAGAGAAGAUAGACAGAGGGUGCCUAGAGAGAUGGCUGUCAGGGGAAAUGAUUUUAGAAAUUGUCUCAUGCCAUGAGGUACUAUAUCCAGGGAAGACUGAAGUCCUGAGAACCAUGGCUAGUGUAGUGGGCGGGGUCACUAAGUCUCAGAAUCUGAAGACACUAUGCCCUAGAUAGUUUUAUGUCAACUUGACACAAGCUGGAGUCAUCUGAAAGGAGGGAAGCUAAAAAGGACAAUUCCCCGAUAAGAUCUAGCUGUAAGGCAUUUUCUUAAUUAGUGAAUUACCAGGCAGCAUCUAGCCCAUGGUGGGUGGUACCACUCCUGGGCUGGUGGUCCUGGGCUUUACGAGAAAGCAGGCUGAGCAAAGCCAAGACAGCAAGCCGGUAAGCUGCGACCUUCCAUGCCUCUGCAGCACCACCUGCCUGGAAGUCUCUGCCUUGUUUGAGUUCCUGUCCUGACUUCCUUUGAUGAUAAACAUCAAUAUGCAGUUGUAAGCUGAAUAAACUAGUUUCCCUCAA